GACGGGUGAGUAACGCGUGGGUACCUGCCUUGUACUGGGGGACAACAGUUGGAAACGACUGCUAAUACCGCAUAAGUUCGCAUGAAAAAAACUCCGGUGGUACAAGAUGGACCCGCGUCUGAUUAGCUGGCUGGUGAGGUAACGGCCCACCAAGGCGACGAUCAGUAGCCGGCCUGAGAGGGUGAACGGCCACAUUGGGACUGAGACACGGCCCAAACUCAUACGGGAGGCAGCACUGGGGAAUAUUGCACGAUGGGGGAAACCCUGAUGCAGCAACGCCGCGUGAGUGAAGAACUAUUUCGGUAUGUAAAGCUCUAUCAGCAAGAAAGAAAAGACGGUACCUGACUAAGAAGCCCCGGCUAACUACGUGCCAGCAGCCGCGGUAAUACGUAGGGGGCAAGCGUUAUCCGGAUUUACUG
rnacentral:rRNA from 1 species